AUUGAACGCUGGCGGCAGGCCUAACACAUGCAAGUCGAACGGUAACAGGAAGAAGCUUGCUUCUUUGCUGACGAGUGGCGGACGGGUGAGUAAUGUCUGGGAAACUGCCUGAUGGAGGGGGAUAACUACUGGAAACGGUAGCUAAUACCGCAUAACGUCGCAAGCCCAAAAAGGGGGACUUUCGGGCCCCUUUCCUUCGGUUCUGCCCAGAUGGGAUUAGCUAGAAGGUGGGGUAACGGCUCACCUAGGCGACGAUCCCUAGCUGGUCUGAGAGGAUGACCAGCCACACUGGAACGGAGACACGGUCCAGACUCCUACGGGAGGCAGCAGUGGGGAAUAUUGCACAAUGGGCGCAAGCCGGAUGCAGCCAUGCCGCGUGUAUGAAGAAGGCCUUCGGGUUGUAAAGUACUUUCAGCGGGGAGGAAGGGAGUAAAGUUAAUACCUUUGCUCAUUGACGUUACCCGCAGAAGAAGCACCGGCUAACUCCGUG
rnacentral:rRNA from 1 species